GCGCUCCAAGAGGGCCCACGCAGGUUAAAUGGAAUGCGGCUAUUAAGGAGCCCUUUCACGGUGAAGAUUUGACAGCUAUACAGAGCCCCUUGUGUCUGAGGGUUGGGCAAGGGGAGUACAGAGACCGGCACACAGGGAACCAGAAACAUCCAUGGAACAAAUGGCUACAGAAAAACUGAGUGAAAAAGACUGUCCUGAUUUAUGAGAUUCCCUGGGUCUCCACUUGUUACUAUUAUCACCACUGGCAACACCACCACUGAUGAUGAUGAUGAUGAUGCAGGGAUCCCAGACCUUCUGCCACUGAUAGAUGAAGGGUAGGCAUGUGACCCCAUUUUGGUCAAUAAGAAAUGAGAUAAAGUCGGCUGGAAUCUUCUGGAAAAGGUGACACCUGGAAACUGCUACAACUAUUCUGCAACAAUAGCAACAGGUUCAGCAAAGGGCACAGCCAGUAAAUGAAAUUUUCCACCAGGACAAUAUAUCAUCACAAGAAGUAGAUGCGCUGGAAACUUACAAGCUUGCUCAAGAUGCGGACAAGGUGUGAAAUGGUAAAAAAUGAAAAGCAGAAGCAUCGUACAGUAAAUUUCAA